rnacentral:rRNA from 1 species
GACGAACGCUGGCGGCGUGCUUAACACAUGCAAGUCGAACGGAAAGGCCUGCUUUCCCUUGUGGAUUGCGGGUACUCGAGUGGCGAACGGGUGAGUAACACGUGAGUGAUCUGCCCCCAACUUGGGUAUAAGCCUGGGAAGCUGGGUCUAAUUCCCGAUAGGACUGCAGGGUGGUGCCUGUGGUGGAAAACGAUUUUCUAGUGGUUGGGGAUGAGCUCGCGGCCUAUCAGCUUGUUGGUGGGGUAAUGGCCUACCAAGGCGGCGACGGGUAGCCGGCCUGAGAGGGUGGACGGCCACAUUGGGACUGAGAUACGGCCCAGACUCCUACGGGAGGCAGCAGUGGGGAAUAUUGCACAAUGGGCGGAAGCCUGAUGCAGCGACGCCGCGUGGGGGAUGACGGCCUUCGGGUUGUAAACUCCUUUCGACCGCGAGGAAGCCACCUGGUUGGAAGGGUGGUGACGGUAGUGGUAGAAGAAGCACCGGCUAACUACGU